rnacentral:misc_RNA from 1 species
UACGGGGGGGGCAAGCGUUGUUCGGAAUUACUGGGCGUAAAGGGUUUGUAGGUGGCCGACUAAGUCAGACGUGAAAUCCCUCAGCUUAACUGGGGAACUGCGUCUGGGACUGGUCGGCUUGAGGGCCGGAGAGGAACGCGGAAUUCCAGGUGUAGCGGUGAAAUGCGUAGAUAUCGGGAGGAACACCUGUGGCGAAAGCGGCGCACUGGACCAUAACUGACGCUGAGGCGCGAAAGCUAGGGGAGCAAACAGG